rnacentral:rRNA from 1 species
UACAGAGGGUGCAAGCGUUAAUCGGAAUUACUGGGCGUAAAGGGUGCGUAGGUGGUUUUGUAAGUAACAUGUGAAAGUCCUGGGCUUAACCUGGGGAUUGCAUGUUAAACUGCAAAGCUAGAGUGUUGUAGAGGAUAGCGGAAUUUCCGGUGUAGGGGUGAAAUGCGUAGAUAUCGGAAGGAACAUCAGUGGCGAAGGCGGCUAUCUGGACAACAACUGACACUGAGGCACGAAAGCGUGGGGAGCAAACAGG